UACGGAGGGUGCAAGCGUUAUCCGGAUUCACUGGGUUUAAAGGGUGCGUAGGUGGGUCUGUAAGUCAGUGGUGAAAUCUCCAAGCUUAACUUGGAAACUGCCGUGGAUACUAUUAGUCUUGAAUAUUGUGGAGGUAAGCGGAAUAUGUCAUGUAGCGGUGAAAUGCUUAGAUAUGACAUAGAACACCGAUAGCGAAGGCAGCUUGCUACACAAUCAUUGACACUGAGGCACGAAAGCGUGGGGAUCAAACAGG
rnacentral:rRNA from 1 species